rnacentral:rRNA from 1 species
AACGAACGCUGGCGGCGCGUUUUAAGCAUGCAAGUCGAACGGUAAGCAUCCUUCGGGAUGCCUAGAGUGGCGAACGGGUGAGUAACACGUAGGUGAUCUACCCGAGAGGUUGGGGAUAGCUUGUGGAAACACAGGGUAAUACCGAAUAUGUCCUGAGGGCUGUGGCCCAUAGGGCAAAGGUGCUUCGGCACCGCCUCCGGAUGAGCCUGCGCCUGAUUAGCUAGUUGGUGGGGUAAGAGCCUACCAAGGCGACGAUCAGUAGCCGGCCUGAGAGGGUGAGCGGCCACACUGGGACUGAGAUACGGCCCAGACUCCUACGGGAGGCAGCAGCUAAGAAUCUUCCGCAAUGGACGAAAGUCUGACGGAGCGACGCCGCGUGGGUGAUGAAGGCCGUGAGGUUGUAAAGCCCUUUUCUGACUGAGGAAUAAGCGCAUGAGGCAAUGCGUGCGUGAUGACGGUAAGUCAGGAAUAAGCCCCGGCCAAUUACGUGCCAGCAGCCGCGGUAACACGUAUGGGGCGAGCGUUGUUCGGAAUCAUUGGGCGUAAAGGGCGCGCAGGCGGUUAUGCAAGCCUGGUGUGAAAGACCGCAGCUUAACUGCGGAGACGCACUGGGAACUGCAUGGCUUGAGUUCAGGAGGGGAAGCUGGAAUUCCUGGUGUAGGGGUGAAAUCUGUAGAUAUCAGGAAGAACAUCAGUGGCGAAGGCGAGCUUCUGGCCAUGAACUGACGCUGAGGCGCGAAAGCGUGGGGAGCAAACAGGAUUAGAUACCCUGGUAGUCCACGCCGUAAACGAUGUGCACUAGGUGUUGGGUCG